rnacentral:tRNA from 1 species
GCAGGGGUGGUGGAACUGGUAGACACGCAUGUUUGAGGGGCAUGUGCUUGUAUAAAGCGUGAGGGUUCGAGUCCCUUCCCCUGCACCA